CCGCCGAGGCCCAGCGUGAGCACCUCAGCGCGGCCUUCAGCCGGCAGCUCAACGUCAAUGCCAAACCCUUUGUGCCCAACGUCCACGCCGCCGAGUUCGUGCCGUCCUUCCUGCGUGGCCCGGCCCAACCGGCGCCGGCGCCGGCGCCAACCACCACGGAGCCUGCAGUGGCGCGGGAGGCCCUUCGGGCAAAGGGGCCGGGACGCGGAAGCAGCCGAGCGGGAGGCCGGAGCCCACCUUGGUGGGGUGUGGGGACACGUCUGCGGUUCGCCUCGCAGGGCGGGGUACGCGCGGCCUCGGGGCCCGGCGGCACGUGGGGCGCUGACAGCGGCGCCGGGCGCGGGCAGCCCUGUGUGGGGCGGCCCGGGCGCGGCGGAGGGCCUGGAGGAGCGGUAGCUGCGUGUCGGCGACAUGGGAGGGAUCUAGAGCCCGUCCCUUCCCCGGGGGCCGCAGCUACCUACUAGAACUGAAAACCGUAUGGGACGGAGAGGGCCCGCGGCCAUCAGUACCAUGAGGCCCAGACGUGGGACAACUGGAACCAGGAGGUGGGUGGGCGUUGAGCGAGCCAGACUCAAGGAGCUGGGAGGACGAGCGCCCGACUUUUCCUUCACCUUAUGCCUAGGUGAGAGAGCGUUUCUUGCUCCAAUUUCUAUUAUUGAAACUGUAAUUAACGUUUUGGAUAUCUGGCACCGAAGUGUCCUGCAGGAAUCCCAAGAUGCAUUGUAGUCUUGGGAUCCCGCAGAAACUGUUGGCCAUCACUUCAGAGGUCUUUCAGUUUUGUAAAGCAUUGUGUAAGCUUGUAAAGUUAACAGUGUCAAAAGUAAGAGGUCCUCCCGUAAUGUGUAUAGGAAACUACAUUGAUUUGUGUUCUCUUUUUCUUAAGUGGUGCUUGUCUUCUUAGUGACACGUUUAGAAUUUUAAUUUCGUCAAAAUCGGAUAGCUUAUUCAGGCUGUGUGGUAUUGUAAGUCACUCUUUAUGUUCACGUGUCAGUAAUUAGCCUGUUCAGAUACUUGGUAUUAUAGCUUACUAGUUGUCACGUGCCGUUCUGACCAUAGCUAGUAGACUGUUUUGUGUGUUUUCAAGUCAGGUUUGGUCUUUAAAAAGCUUUCUGUAUUUCGGGGCUGCUUAAGUGAUAGGAUGACAUGCUUUCGGGUACUGAUCUUGUGGGAAUGUCAGAUGUGUGAAGUUAACUAUUCUCCCCUGUAUGAAAAAGUGCUUAUUUUACGAACUGUCAAUAUUGGCUUAAAGAGAGAAAGGAAUGUACCUUCGUGAGCCAGGGUAUUGGAGAACCAUAUCACAGAUGUUCUUGGCAAUUUGUGAGAAUCGAUUGUUGAUUUCUCUUUGAAGUUCCACGUUGUAUUUCCUAGAUAAAUGGACAUCAUAAAAGUCUCUGGGAGUUUAGCUUCUUCAGAAACUUGCCACAGUUUCUGUAUUAGAGGCAGAGAGCUUGGAGAAGUACUUCUGUGAAGUAAGUACAUAUAUGAGCACAGUUUGAAUUUGGUUGUUUGAUUUUCUUGAUGUUUUGCCUUUUAACAAGGAAACUUAGUAUUUAUUUCUUUGCUUAGAUCAAGCAGUUUGGCCUACUUAAAUAAAGUUCACUUACCAGCCCCUAAAAGUGCCCGGUUCCCCAUACCUUAUCAUGCAGAUUCCUUUUAUCCAGCCAUUUUCUUGUUUCUUUUUUGGCCGUCCCUCCUCACUCUGGAGCCACCAGCACCACUCUGGCUAGACUUGGAACUCCAUUUCCAGCUUGUCCAUCCAUCAGCCAGUGAGUCAGGAAGGGACAGCCAUCCUCAGAGCAGUGAUCUGGAGUAGACAUUGUUGGGUGACUAGGUAGGUAGGUUGGGUGACUGUUAGGUAGAAGAGCUGUCUUUCCUCUUACUGGCAUUUGCCAACUUGCUGGUUUAUUCUUAAUCCUUUUCUCUGUGACACUGUUAGAAGUGGAGAUGUAAAAAUAUCUAAGGAAGCGGUUAUAAGAGAAGUACUUUCUUUGUUACUUGGUGGUCAGUUUUUUUCAGUUAUAUCAAACUGUUUUGGUGUUACUGACUUUGUCAACUGCUUCUACAAAAUGCCAGUUCAUAUUUUUAAAAGUGUCCUCCUUAGGGUUGUCUAUUGGAAAAGAAUGGUUUCUAAAUUGAGGUCCAGAGAGAUGUGGGACUGUUGGAUUGCAUGUUUGAACCCAUAGAGGUCCAUAAAGUACCACCAUCAUAGCAGAGAACUAUGCCUGGAAGAAGCAAAGAAAAAAAUUGGAACUUGCCCUUAGAAAUUUACAAAGGGGGAGCCAUAAAAGUUGCAAGUUUUUUUAUAGUGAGGAAAUAAACAGAAGGGGAGCAUCUUUUCUUUGGUUGUUAAGCCCUUGUUGAGAUUUGUUGUGGGUCCCUGUUUUUAAACUAGAUAGGAGGAAGAGCUCUUGAAGGAGGAAGUCUAGAGGUAGAACACUGAAUGACUUCCUAACUGUUCCUGUCUAGGAUGAAUAUCUGUCAUUUCUCCUGAAAACAGGCUAGUUGGGUUUUUCUGGUGGUUCCUUGAGCAGCCAGUUGCCAUAAAUGUUUUUGCACAGUGUCAGAAGGCUGCUGGGUGGUUAUGCCUGUUUCCAGCCAUCCCAAGUCAAAACUUGGGAUUCCGUGUUGAUCUUAGCUCUCAGAAAAAGUAAUACAGGUUUCCAACGGAAUGAUUAAGUAGAAUACAAAUUAAGUGUAACCAAGUGUAAUUCAUUUAAGUUCAGUUCUCUACAGAUCCAAGUAAAUUGACUACGUGAUGCUCUUUAAAGUAGAAGUCCUGAAAUGAAUGAAAAUGUGGAAGACAAGGGUUGUGUGUAAGAGAACAAACAUUUUCUAUGCUAGAAUGUACAUAUUUUACUUAUUUUGAGUUUCAAUUUGCACACAGUUCAUUCUUUUUUAUUGUUGAAUGAGAAGUAAGUUUAGCGAUUUAAUUCAGGAUUACUUGGUGUCUUAGUCCAUUUGGGCUGCUGUGUAGUACAGUACCACAGACUAGGUAGCUUGUAAACAAAAUUUUUAUCCCUCACAGCUCAGGAGGCUGGAAGACCGCGAUCAGGGUGCCACCCUGGUCAGAUGAGGGCCUCCUUCCCUCUCUCAGAUCAGAUUGCUGACUUCUUGUUCUCACAUGGUGGAAGGGGCAAGGGAGCUCCCUGGGGCCUCUUUUAUAAAGGAGCUGUUUGUAAAAUGCAUUCUUGAGGGCUCUGCCGUUAGGACUUAUGUCCUCCAAAAAAACCCCACCUAAGUCCAAUACGUGAGGCAUUAGAAUUUCAACAUAUGAAUUUUGGGGGGGACACAAACAUUUCAGAGCAUAGCACUUGGACUUGUAGAGCAUCCAGGCUUCUGUAGUAAUGGUGUGGUGUCCUUUCCACCACCGCACCCUUAGCAUCUCUCAGAACUCUGCCAGUAAAAAAUGAAUAUAGAAUAAAAAUAAAACCAGCGGUCCUCAGAGGAGGAACUAUCUCCAAAACAUAGCACAUUGUAUUAUGGAACCUGAAUUUUAAAGAGAAAUGUUCUGUUUCAUAGUACUUGGUUUUUGAUGGGUGUCUUUUAAUGGGGAAGGAAUGUUCUUUUUUUUAGUGACAGAGAUAUAAUUCACAUAUCACAGAAUUCACUGUAGUGGUUUUUAGUAUAUUCACAAAGUUAAUGCAACCGUCACUACUACGUGGUGGUUGCUUGUUAAUCACUGAGUAGUCUCAAAAGUGACCUCUUCAGGGUCACCAGAGUAGAGUGCAGAAUCUUACAUAAUUGCUUUGUUCAGAAGGCCUCUUAGGCUUUAUUAUGAUUUUAAGUGAUACCUGUUGACUGAGAGAUAAGUUUAGACAGAAGAUAGGUGAGGUUCUUGACUGGAUUUUCCUUUUCCCAUGAGACUGAAAUCCCUGCAGUAACAAAGUCUUCAGUGGGACAGUAAGUAAAGUAGGCAGAGAAGGUGAGGGGAAAAUACUGUUCCAGGAGUGUUAUUUCUUUUCCUGCCUCGUUUUCUAGCUAGUUAUUUCUUACCUUGACUUAACCAAUUAUUAGAUUUGGGCUCUUAUUUCCUGAUUUUACAUGCUUGCAAUGGCUCCAGCGUGAGGAUUUAGGGAGUAAGCGAAGGCAUUACAUGAACCAGUGCUUUCCUUGUGAGCAGCUAUUUGAACUGGUAAGAAAUUUUGAUUGAGAAUAGGCCCUCUUUGGAGCAGCUUUUAUUUACUGCAGCUUUUGUACAUGGCUUUCUUCUGUCCCUUGUUUUUCACCUUCUCUGGAAUUGUACUGCAAGAAAAGAUAGCGAUUAAAAUUUCUCAGGGCGAGUUAGGGAAGUAGAGUAGAUGACAAGUUUUAAGUCUUGUUUUGUUUUUGUUUGCUGGGGAGGAAAUGUCUUAAAGUGUUAAAAUAUUACUGUUUUUCUAGUCGAAGAGAAAGGAAUGAAAAGGAUUCGAUAGUCUUUUGUGAAUGCAGGAUACUGUGCUGGGCACUUGAAGUGACACCACAAGAUGAAUUAAUCGUAGUCCUGGAGUCUAGAAAGAAGUGAGAGAAACAGUAAGGAUUUUUUGAGCAUCUUUCACCAGCCUAACCUAAGAGUGGUUACACCCAAUCCAAACCACAUUCCAAACAGGUAAUUGUAAGCCACUGACCUUGAACAAAGCAGAAAGUGCAUGCCUUAGAAUGUUGUUGGGGCAAUCUCUGGGUUGACCGUUUCUGUAGAACCACAGUGGGCCACUGUACUACUCAGUGGUGUGUCCAGUUCCUUUGGAUGGUUGGUUUUGGUUGCAAGGUAAGUGUAUUUCUGUUCCCUUUGUACCUUAAUGGGGCUGUCUGCAAAGUAUUUUAAGUUCACCUACAAUUUUUUUUGAAGUAAAUAGGAUAUACAUUAUAAAUAAACCUGUUUUAGGGUUGUUUGAAAAACAUAGUGGAUCUUAGUUACUCUACAGAAAGCCCACUCAGGUGGAUGUGUGUCAUUGCUUUUAGUGAAUGAAUAGUUCGUAGAAUGUUAGGGCUGGAAGUGACCCUGGCAGUAGUACAGUCUUAUCAGAUAAAGAAACUGAAGCCUACAGAUAGUGACUCCAAUUCAGCAACAGUGGAGUCUGGAAUCUGUUUGCCAACUGCUAGCUUAGUGCCCUUUCAAUUACACCGUGCUGUUGACCGGGGAGAAGGGCAUCCCUGGGGCUAACAUCUUGACCACCAACCAGCAUGGAUUUCCUGAGAGAGGCCCUAGAAUUUGCCUUUCUUGUGUUUAUUCUUCAAAAGUUUUGUUAAUAUGGGGCUUUGAAAAGCUUGUAAUGGUAAACUUAUUGAGCAGUUACUUGCUUCAUAUGCUUUUAUCUUCACAACAAUCUUUUGAGGUUAUGUUGAGCCCUUUUAUAGAUAAGAAAAUUAAGGCUCAGAAAAGCUAAAUAAAUGAGGUGACAUCUCCUAGUAAGUGGAGGAGCCAGGGUUAGACUCUACGUCUGAUUUCAAAGUUUAUUCUAGUAAUAAUAACUCAGCUAGUCUUCUCCCUGUGAUUUGCUAUGAAAAGGUCUUUUUGGCUGAGACACUUUUUCAGCAACUGAGUCCGUGAGAUUGUGGCCUAUGGCACCGCCUCCCUGUUCUGUCUCAGUAGUAGCAGGGUGACGUUGUGAUAAGUAGGCAAUGCUCUACUUUGAAAUCACUUCUUCCUACAUUUUAGGAAAUAAUGUGAGAUAAUUUGAAACAGUUCUGUUCACCGCUAUAGCAUUGUACCUUUUUAUUUUGAGAGCAUAGGUAGUUAAGGCAAAACCAUGGACAUUUCAUGUGUUGUGUGGGCGUUUGGUUGUGAUGUCUGCCUUUACUGGUUUUCAGUAUUGUCUGUGGGAGAAAAAUACCUCAGGCAGGCGGAUUUGGUUGGGAGUGUAUGGUCAUCUGGGUGCUAGAGAAUUUUUAGUUUCUUAUGCAAAUUGUACUUCAGCAUCUCUUCAGUAUUGUUUCUCUAACCCCUUCUUGGAAAACUGACACAUACAAAGUUGUUUUUAGUCUAUCGAACCCUGAUGGAAAUGCAGUAAAUAUAUAGGUGGACUGCUACAGAUGGUGAGAAAACUGAAGUGAUAAGACUCUAAGGAACUAGUGACCUCUGAAAACCAAAAGAAACGGCUGCAGUCCAGGCACAGUGAAUUACAUACUUACUCGGUACGUACACCGUUUCAGCCUGUGGAGACUUUACAGGAGAUGGGAAAAGGCUCUGUAUUUCAGAAAACCACACUCAUUCUGGAAGUUUCUAAUGUCUUAGGGAACGAAAACUGAGAUCUGUGUGUGGGUGUGCUUACAGCUGCAAGAAGGGUCCUACCCUAGAGGAGCUCAGAAGAGCCAUCAUAAGCUGGGUAAUGGGGUGGGUGGGGGGUGGGAUAAAAGUGGAAAGAUUUGUACUACAAUUGAGGAGAUUCCUUAAGAGGAUCUAGAACUGUGCACUUAUGGCUCUUUAAAUUAAUUAAAACUAAAUGUUUCAAUUAAAAAUUCAGUUUCUUGGUCAUAGCCACCUUUCAAGUGCUUAAUAGCCACAACGUGGCUAAGUGACAGUCAUAUCACAGCACAGAAACAGAACAUUUCCAUCAUUGCAGAAGCUUGUAUUGGACAGAAUUUUGUCACAAUGUUUCUCACUUCAAGGUAGCGUAAGACACUUGUGACUUUUGCGACAGCACUGAAGUUUUUAUUCAUUAAUAAUGAACACCAUUUAGCCAACAGGACUAAGAAAUUUAAGUAGGAUGACUUUUGCAUAUUGUUGUUUUGUGUGUAAAGAGAUGAAAGAUUAGUUUUAUACAUAUAAAGCAGUACACAUUUAAGUUGCUGAUUUAUGGACUAUGUGGGUUAAGCAAUUUAAGAAUUGGCCAGACUUUUAUAUUUAAAAUAUAACUUGAAUUGAAACCUGGUUUUCACAGCCCACCACGAGUGUGGCCUUCACUGUACCCAUGAUCUGGCCAAGUAAGAUCUCCGUGUUAAAGUCCUUUGAUCCAUAAUCAAAUCUUUAAAAAAAUUGUAUUUUUAAAAAUUGAGGUGAAAUCCAUAUGACAUGAAAUUAACCAUUUGAAAGUGAACAGUUUGGUGGCAUUUGGUACAUUCACAGUGCUGUGCAGCUUACUACCUCAAGGUUCCAAACAGUCUCAUCGCCUCCAAAGGAAAUCAUACUUUUCAAGCAAUUGUUUAACACUCCCCUUUUCCCAGCUUUUGGCAACCACCAAGCUACUUUCUGUGUGUAUGAAUGUACCUAUUCUGAAUAUUUCAUGUGAAUGGAAUUGUACCUGUGAUCUGUUGUGUCUGGCUUAUUGCACCAUUAUCAAAUUUUAACUAGUUUUAAGAUUCACAGUAUCAUCUUUGUUAAACCAUAGGCAGUACUGUUGCCUGACUGUCUUUUGGUAAAAUCUUUCACUUCUUGUUUUAAAAUUUUGGGUAAUAUACCUUUUAUCACAGCCAGUUCAUUAAUCUUCCUUUACCAUAAAGGAUAGCAUUCGUUUCUUUUAAUUUGAGGUAUGGCAGUUUUAUUAACUAGUACACUUCUGAUAAACUUUCCCACCUAAUUAGAAUUGUUCUUUUUUGAAUACUUGAUGAGGGUGUGUACUUGAUGAGGAUGUAUCUUCUGAACAUGGAGAUACCAUUAGGAAAUAUGAAACUGAUUUCAUUCCUUGGGAGGUUGACUAACUUCUCUUCGACUAGCAGAUAUGAAGUGUGCAGGACUUGGAAAUCAAGCCCCAAUGGUUAUGUUUGCCAGCCAUGAACAAGUGACUUUGGAGCUGGUAGAAUUACAAGCCUAUGCUCAUUAGUAGCGAGUAAAUCUGGAUGUGAUGUAUAUUAUGAAUAAUAGGAGUAGAAUGAGAAAGGGUUGGAGAUGUGUGUGAGAGAAGAGACUGGGUACAAAUACACUGACAAGUUUAAAUGUAAAGAACAUGUUGCUGUAUCUGUGAUUUUUCUGGUUCAUUGCUCCAAAAACAUCAGUUCGCAGAUGUUGCCACCAUUGCCAUUUGAAUUGUAACGUGAUCCGUGGUCUGAAUGCAAGGAUAAGCUUUUUUUCUUCCAUCCUGGGGAAACUAUUGUCAGCUUCUUAUUUUGAGGCCCUUUAAUGUCAUCAUUACGUGUAUAUUAAUAACUUAAUUGCUGUUUGUACUUGACCCUGUCCCUGCCUCUGUAAGCUGUACAAACUCAAGACAAAUGCAUUAUAAAUGUAGGGUGUUUUGAAAAAUGAAACCAUGAACAGAUUUUUAUUAUGCUGCGUUAUGCAGCCAUGGAGGUAGUCUUAUGACUGAUGUCACUGUCCUGAGAGGUGCCUUACAGCCUUAGGCAUGUAUUGUAUAUUUGUAAAUCUAAGAGUUGGUUGUAGAACCAGGUGUUGAGGUGUGUGUACUGUUGGGUCUUAUAAAGCCCAUUUGCAGUUUGGGAUGUCUUAUAAGUGAUGAGAGAGCCCCCCAUACUGAUUGUCUCCGUCUUCCUUGCCUUACAAUGCUUGACCAUCCUAACUGUGUCAUCACUUACUCGGUUUACUUUUACUGAGGGAUUUUCAGCAGGGGCUGUCUGAGGAAGGGCAAGGUGGCAUUUGUGUAACUUGGAGAAGCCCAUUCGAAUAUGUCAGAAUGUUUGGUAAGUUACCGCUUACUUCAUAGGGUUUGGGGGGAGCUUAAAUAAGAUAGCAAUCAGCACAUGAGGGCUCAAUAAAAAUUUAAAGGGAUUUAGGGUAAUUUGCCACAACCUCCAACCCUGCCUCCAGCACUGUGGAUUUGUGAGUGUUUCUAUCCCUGUCUGGCCCAUAAUAGAUGUGCAGUACAUGUUAGUUGAGAGAAUUGAACUGAUGGCUCAUUACAUAUUAGGGAGUGGGGAGUCACUUGUUGAAUAUCUCUUAGGUGCGAGGAGUUCUUUAAUUGAAACUAAACAAAUGCUUAUUCUCAUUCAGUGCUCUAAGCAGUUCUCUCAGGCAGAUGACAUGCCAUUUCCAUGAUUCAGUGAAAUAAUUGCCUCUCACAACUUGUACAUGACACUGUAGGUUUUAAAGCCAGGAGUCAGCCCAGUGCUGGCCUCUCAGCACCAGCGUCUGCUGCCUCCUCCAUCCUGAGGUUCGCACGUCAGCCUGAUCACCUAGCACUGCCUGACUUUCUCUGGAAGUUGAGUGAUUUUUCCUUACUAUACCUGUAAACUUUUCUUUUAAAUAGGAAGUGAAAAAAAAAUCUUUUGUGAAGUACAAUUCCUCUUCCUUCCAAACCUAGUUCAAAUGCUUUUUCCAUUUCUGUUAACAUCCUGCUAAUCGCAUAGGUUGGGGUGUCUUAGACCCUUCACUCUUCCUUCCUGCACCUGUCCGGUGUCACCCCUGUUACCUCUGUGUUUAGCCUCUCCUCUCCAGCUGCACUGCGCCGCGGUGGGAGCCAUGCUGAUGUUGCUGGCUGAGGUGUCUUUCCAUUCAAAGGUCAUCCAAAUACCACUGUGUAGGAUCAUCUGCAGCUGCGACGCUCAGCAUGUCACUUCUCAAAAGAUCUUGGUUGCCCUUUACCUUUCAGGGGCAAGAAACUCCUUUCUUCACUACUUCAUAUUAUGGAAGAUUGGGCCCAAAACUUUUCUUGACUUACAGGUCUUAACACUCCAGGGGAGUGAGUUUAAAUGUAACUUUGAGAGAUUAUGAAUUCACUGUUUAUUGGUGUGCAGGAUUCAUGUGACUUCAAAUUCUUCAAUGUCUUUUUUGCAUCUUGGAGAUUCUUUAAAGCAAGGGCACUUUCAUACCGGAGUAUCAUUAGGCUUUCAGAUAUAAAAAUAAACUUAAACAUUUAAGUAUCAGUAUAUAUUUCUCAUACAUCUCUUUCAGUAAUAUCAUAAGUAGAUUUUCAGCGUGACAAUUGUGGAAACUGGAUUGUUUCUUGAUCUUAGAAUUCUAAUAGAGGGACAAAAACAGUGUCAUUUUAAUCAUCAUUUCUGAGAUGUCAUAAGGGCCCAUACACAUUUCAGGGACUUUAUAUGAAUGUCCUUUGUACUUUCUUGGUAUCAAAUAGAACUUAUUCCAGGAUCUUGAUGAUAAAAUAUGUAUGAUUAUAGAAUUUUUAAAAGGGCUAAUCAUAGCCUUCUUUGACUACAGCUACCAAGAGAAACUAGAGAAGUAAUGUGUCUUUGUUGAGCAAAAUCUUACUAAUCUGAUCUGUGUAUGCUGUUGAUUACUCUUUAAAUAUCUGUGACAGAAAAGUUUUUGAAGCAAAAUACGAGAACAAGCAUACUUUUAUGAGUACAUUUCCAUUACUGAAAAGGUUUCAAAAUUGGCUGUGAUUGGCAGAUUUUUAGAAGUAGGUUAAACAGACUUAUAGUUUGAAAACCUGAGUUAGUUGCCAUUAGUUAGGUCUGGAUUGUUGAGAUUUUUGUUGGGUUAUUGAAUUUAUGUUUUUACUGUAUUUUAGAACAUAAAUAAAAUGGAUGUG